UAGGAACAGGCGACAUAAAAGGGAGCGCCGCCCUGCAGCUUUCCUCUUGCUCUGCGCUCCGGCGACGGCGGUCGUGAUGCUUGAAAACGACGCCAAAGCCCUGGUCAUGACCUUCCGUCAGGACUUAUGUCGAGGUGUAGUGGCAGGUUCUCGGCGGUCCGCACCACCUUGACGAAGGAAUGGAAGCUGCUGGUGAAAUCGAAUGUUCUCCUGGCUGAUGGCAAGGUCAGAAGGAUCCUGGCUCCUCUACUGAAAGGGGUGUUGACCUCUCCUCCUGAGCUGGAUGUCCAUCUUCACUGACAGGGUGCUGAGUCGAUGCAGUUGCAGUGCGUCCAUCAGAAGUUGAUCAGCUGCAGGUUUAUCAGCUGUGGAAGGAGUCCUGGUUCUGCUGCGUAUGGAGGAACGGCUGAAUGGAGCUGGUGGACGAAGCUGUGGCUGCAGCAGCUGCUUUAAGCUGGUUAUAGUGACGUCAGUACAGGCUUGAGCGCUUCCUAAUGCAAUAAAGCGAAUGGACACUCA